UACGGGGGGGGCAAGCGUUGUUCGGAAUUACUGGGCGUAAAGGGCUCGUAGGCGGCCAACUAAGUCAGACGUGAAAUCCCUCGGCUUAACCGGGGAACUGCAUCUGAUACUGGAUGGCUUGAGUUCGGGAGAGGGAUGCGGAAUUCCAGGUGUAGCGGUGAAAUGCGUAGAUAUCGGAAGGAACAUCAGUGGCGAAAGCGGCUUCCUGGUCCAGCACCGACGUUCAGGCACGAAAGCGUGGGGAGCAAACAGG
rnacentral:rRNA from 1 species